GCCCGCGGCCAGGCCACCCCGAGCGCGCCCGAGCGCAUCUGAGCGCGGAAGCUAAGCGGGGUCGGCCUGGUUAGUGCUGGGAUGGGAGACCACCCCGGAAGCCCGGGUGCUGUAGGCG
rnacentral:rRNA from 1 species